AGAGUUUGAUCCUGGCUCAGGACGAACGCUGGCGGUGCGCCUAAUGCAUGCAAGUCGAACGAGCGAAGGGGCUUCGGCCCCCUAGCUAGUGGCAGACGGCUGAGUAACACGUAAGUGAUCUGCCCCGGAGAGGGGGAUAAGCCGGAGAAAUCCGGUCUAAUACCCCGUACGCUCCCCACGCUGCGGUGUGGAGAGGAAACGUUCCGACGCUCUGGGAGGAGCUUGCGGCCUAUCAUGGUAGUUGGUGGGGUAAAAGCCUACCAAGCCGAAGACGGGUAACCGGUGUGAGAGCACGAUCGGUCAGAGGGGGACUGAGACACGGCCCCCACUCCUACGGGAGGCAGCAGCAGGGAAUCUUGCGCAAUGGGCGAAAGCCUGACGCAGCGACACCGCGUGGGGGAUGAAGGCUCUUGGGUCGUAAACCCCUUUUGUCGGGGAAGAGAACGGACGGUACCCGACUAAUAAGGUUCGGCUAACUACGUGCCAGCAGCCGCGAUAAUACGUANGAACCGAGCGUUGUCCGGAUUUACUGGGCGUAAAGUGCGCGUAGGCGGUUUGUUAAGUCUCAUGUGAAAUCUCCCGGCUCAACUGGGAGGGGUCAUGGGAUACUGGCAGAC
rnacentral:rRNA from 1 species